rnacentral:rRNA from 1 species
GAUGAACGCUGGCGGCGUGCCUAAUACAUGCAAGUCGAGCGAACAGACGAGGAGCUUGCUCCUCUGACGUUAGCGGCGGACGGGUGAGUAACACGUGGAUAACCUACCUAUAAGACUGGGAUAACUUCGGGAAACCGGAGCUAAUACCGGAUAAUAUAUUGAACCGCAUGGUUCAAUAGUGAAAGACGGUUUUGCUGUCACUUAUAGAUGGAUCCGCGUCGCAUUAGCUAGUUGGUAAGGUAACGGCUUACCAAGGCAACGAUGCGUAGCCGACCUGAGAGGGUGAUCGGCCACACUGGAACUGAGACACGGUCCAGACUCCUACGGGAGGCAGCAGUAGGGAAUCUUCCGCAAUGGGCGAAAGCCUGACGGAGCAACGCCGCGUGAGUGAUGAAGGUCUUCGGAUCGUAAAACUCUGUUGUUAGGGAAGAACAAAUGUGUAAGUAACUAUGCACGUCUUGACGGUACCUAAUCAGAAAGCCACGGCUAACUACGUG